GAGACACGGUCCAGACUCCUACGGGAGGCAGCAGUGGGGAAUAUUGCACAAUGGGGGCAACCCUGAUCCAGCCAUGCCGCGUGUGUGAAGAAGGCCUUCGGGUUGUAAAGCACUUUCAGUUGUGAGGAAAAGUUAGUAGUUAAUACCUGCUAGCCGUGACGUUAACAACAGAAGAAGCACCGGCUAACUCCGUGCCAGCAGCCGCGGUAAUACGGAGGGUGCGAGCGUUAAUCGGAAUUACUGGGCGUAAAGCGCACGCAGGCGGUUU
rnacentral:rRNA from 1 species